rnacentral:piRNA from 1 species
UGGCCUCUUUCUCGAUCUUCAGGGGUC